UGAGGAAGUGGAGAAUUAACAUAAUAGGAGUUGGUGUUGCUGAAACUGGGAAAACUUUCAGAUCACAGCAAAAUAGUUCCUGGCUAAUGGGAGCUGUGGAGCCGGCGCUCGUGGCGGGGGCAGCACACAGAGUUGCCCUGGCUGUCCCUGUGCCUAAGAGCCAGAGGGAGAUGUUGCCGCUUCCGGAGAGCUGCACGAAGCCAGCUGCUGCUGCUGCCUCCUUCUCUUCCUUGCAGGGCCUACACUGGCCUUCAGCCAGCAGGGGGAGCAGAGAGAGAGUAUGCACAGACACACCAUCGGGUUUCUUGCAGCCAGACUCUGCAGAGGUCCCCAGUGGACAAUGGAGCUACUGCCACUACCUUCCCCGAGCCCAAAUGUGAUACCAGAUUGCAUCUCAGGAGCACUGUUUCAGAUUGUGGGAAGGGUGUGUGUGUGUGCACGCACAAUUUAUAGCAUGGGCCCA